UACGUAGGAGACGAGCGUUGUCCGGAAUCACUGGGCGUAAAGCGCGUGUAGGCGGAUGGGCAAGUCUGCUGUGAAAGCUCCUGGCUUAACCGGGAGUGGUCGGUGGAAACUGCCAAUCUGGAGGACGGUAGAGGUAGGUAGAAUUCCCGGUGUAGUGGUGAAAUGCGUAGAGAUCGGGAGGAAUACCUGUGGCGAAGGCGGCCUACUGGGCCGGACCUGACGCUGAGACGCAAAGGCGUGGGGAGCGAACGGG
rnacentral:rRNA from 1 species